AUUGAACGCUGGCGGCAGGCCUAACACAUGCAAGUCGAACGAGUGGCGGACGGGUGAGUAAUGUCUGGGAAACUGCCUGAUGGAGGGGGAUAACUACUGGAAACGGUAGCUAAUACCGCAUACCAUCAGAUGUGCCCAGAUGGGAUUAGCUUGUUGGUGGGGUAACGGCUCACCAAGGCGACGAUCCCUAGCUGGUCUGAGAGGAUGACCAGCCAAACUGGAACUGAGACACGGCCCAGACCCCAAGGGGAGGCAGCAGUGGGUAUUAUUGAACAUUGGGCGCAGGCCUGAUGCACCCAGGCCGCGUGUAUGAAAAAGGCCUUCGGGUUGUAAAGUACUUUCAGCGGGAAGGCGUUACCCGCAGAAGAAGCACCGGCUAACUCCGUACCAGCCGCCGCGUAAUUC
rnacentral:rRNA from 1 species